UACAGAGGGUGCAAGCGUUGUUCGGAAUUAUUGGGCGUAAAGCGCGCGUAGGCGGCUUUGCAAGUCGGGUGUGAAAGCCCUCAGCUCAACUGAGGAAGUGCGCCCGAAACUGCAGAGCUUGAGUGCCGGAGAGGGUGGCGGAAUUCCGGGUGUAGUGGUGAAAUGCGUAGAUAUCCGGAGGAACACCAGUGGCGAAAGCGGCCACCUGGACUGUACCUGACGCUCAAACACGAAAGCUAGGGGAGCGAACGGG
rnacentral:rRNA from 1 species